rnacentral:rRNA from 1 species
GAUGAACGCUGGCGGCGUGCCUAAUACAUGCAAGUCGAGCGAACAGACGAGGAGCUUGCUCCUCUGACGUUAGCGGCGGACGGGUGAGUAACACGUGGAUAACCUACCUAUAAGACUGGGAUAACUUCGGGAAACCGGAGCUAAUACCGGAUAAUAUAUUGAACCGCAUGGUUCAAUAGUGAAAGACGGUUUUGCUGUCACUUAUAGAUGGAUCCGCGCCGCAUUAGCUAGUUGGUAAGGUAACGGCUUACCAAGGCGACGAUGCGUAGCCGACCUGAGAGGGUGAUCGGCCACACGGGAACUGAGACACGGUCCAGACUCCUACGGGAGGCAGCAGUAGGGAAUCGUCCGCAAUGGGCGAAAGCCUGACGGAGCAACGCCGCGUGAGUGAUGAAGGUCUUCGGAUCGUAAAACUCUGUUAUUAGGGAAGAACAAAUGUGUAAGUAACUAUGCACGUCUUGACGGUACCUAAUCAGAAAGCCACGGCUAACUACGUG